GCCGCACGCGCGCUACACUGAUCGGAUCAGCGUGUGCUCUCCUUGGCCGACAGGUCCGGGAAACCCGUUGAACCCCGGUCGUGCUAGGGAUAGGGAAUUGCAAUUAUUUCCCUUGAACGAGGAAUUCCCAGUAAGCGCGAGUCAUUAGCUCGCGUUGAUUACGUCCCUGCCCUUUGUACACACCGCCCGUCGCUACUACCGAUUGAAUGGUUUAGUGAGGUCCUCCGAUUGGACCCGGUCCGGGCGGCGACGUCCGAGCCGGCGUCCGAGAAGACGAUCUAACUUGAUCAUUUAGAGGAAGUAAAAGUCGUAACAAGGUUUCCGUAGGUGAACUAGCGGAAGGAUCAUUA
rnacentral:ncRNA from 1 species